AUUGGAAACUGGGAGACUUGAGUGCAGAGGAGGAGAUGGGAACUCCAUGUGUAGCGGUGAAAUGCGUAGAUAUAUGGAAGAACACCAGUGGCGAAAGCGGCGCUCUGGUCUGUAACGGACGCUGAGGUUCGAAAGCGUGGGUAGCAAACAGG
rnacentral:rRNA from 1 species